AUCGCUGUGAAGUGAUGUGUGAAGGAGAUGCAGUAUUCGAGAGAACUGUAGGCGAAAUAUCAGGCCGAAACAAAGUGUGAACUGAAGGUGCGGCAGUAGAAUGUGUGACGACGUUGCGAAAUAUGCGGAAGUUUAUUCAUCGUGCUACCAAUGAACUAGUCGAUAGCAUGAGCCUUCUAUUGUGAAGUCAGUUGGCAUGAUAUUAAGGAAAUAGC
rfam:Trichuris trichiura, WGS project CBXK01000000 data, contig: TTRE_3821